GCCUGGGUGGCUCAGUUGGUUGAGCGUCUGAUUUCGGCUCAGGUCAUGAUCUUGCAGUUCGUGAGUUCGAGUCCUGCAUUGGGCU
rnacentral:tRNA from 1 species